CCCUUAGAUGUCCUGGGCUGCACGCGCGCUACACUGAUGUGUCCAGUAAGCACCUAGCCUCUUCCGAAAGGAACGGGUAACCUUUGCAAAGCACAUCGUGAUGGGGAUAGAUUAUUGCAAUUAUUAGUCUUGAACGAGGAAUUCCUAGUAAGCACAAGUCAUCAGCUUGUGUUGAUUACGUCCCUGCCCUUUGUACACACCGCCCGUCGCUCCUACCGAUUGAAUGUUCCGGUGAGCUCUUCGGACUGCGCGGUCUGCAGUUUCUGCGUUCCGUGCGGAAAGUUGCGCAAACCUUAACAUUUAGAGGAAGGAGAAGUCGUAACA
rnacentral:rRNA from 1 species